UCAACAAAGGAUGUCGGUAAAGUUAUUCUUUCUCUACACUUGUUUCAGACCCGAAAGCAUCUAAUAUUUCAUAUUUUAUUUCAACUUUUAUUUUGUGCAUUUUAUUUGAUCUUACAAUUUACUUACAAGUUACAACAUUUAAACCCAACAAUGGCCGAUGGUAAUAGCAGAGACGACACAGCAGACUUCCUGACGGCUUGGGAACUAUCUCAAUAUAUUGAUACGUUCCAAGGUUGUUGAAUCUUGCAGUAAUAUUUUUAUUGAACAUAGUAGUUCAUCUGAGCAUAUCGAAUCAUCUCAUAAAGAAUCUUUAUUAACAAGUAAUAGUGAAAUUGCGUCAAUACCCAGCACUUCUGAUCAAUCAAUUGAAACCAUUAAAUUGUUUUACGAAGAUAUUCAAAAUGUGGCCGAUAACACGAAAGUCAACACAACCCCAAAAUACACAUAUAGCUUCACAACCAACAACAGGGUUAUUGGAAUGGCUCAAAGGUACCAAUGAAGGCAGAUCUUUAUUAGCUCCUACCAUGAAAGUGGUCUUUUAGACAGUAUUGGUCGUAAACAUCUUUGCAAUUUAAUAAUUAGUAACAAACUCAGUGUAGAUGUAAAUGUCAGGGUAUCUUCAGUUAGAUUACAAGAACUUGCUUAUGAAAUAACUACAAUAUUUAACAAAGAACGAACCCCCACUUACUUUAUCCCGUAUUUAUCAUAUGGACCUGGUUUAAAAAGGGCCGCAAAAGGCAAGCUUUUAGAUUACCUUAAUAACUUCCUCUGGCCGUGCUUCUCCUGCGCUUUUACUUCCAGAAGCACUUCAACAUAUUGUAAAAAAUCAGACAGACAAUCCUGCAUCUGUUGAAGAAAAUUUGAACUGCCUGCGCAAUUCAAGUGAUCCUUGGACACUUGUCGAAAAACAUUGGUUGUUAACUGCUCUCACUCGUUUAAAAGUACAAUUGUCCAAGGAUGGACAAUCCAUUGCAUCCUAUAUGGCUGAAUAUCCGGCAUUAAACAGACCAACAGGAUAUUUUCUUAUUUUAAUGUGGUGUAUUCUAAGUAUUCUGACAAUUUGUAUCAAAAUCUGCCGUUGUGUAAAAAAAGAAUAUUUGAAUUAGCUGCAGAAAAAUUAAAGAAAACCAAAGAAGUUGUAAUUAUUCAGACUUUGAAAGAGUACAUACAAUUGGGAGUGGAAGGUUAUGAAGAAUCUUCAAACAUUGCUGCUUUUUAAGUCUCUCCCUUUCUUGAUUGCGUCGGCCAUUUCUAGAGGAAAAAAAUCAAAUACUCAAUGGAAAGCUUCAAAACUUGAAAUAAGAGACGGAUUCAUUACACAUGUCAAAAGCAAUGUUGAAGUGCAGGAAUCAAUAACACGUAGAAGAGAAAAAUUUAUCGGUUUGGGUCAUACUUUACAACCAUACAUUAUAAUAGUCGGUCCUACUCUAAACAAUAUUUUAAACUACUUGGUUGUUGUUGAUGAUACAUUUUAUUAAUUAAAUUCCAUAAUUGAUUCAGUAGACUGUUGCUUCAAAAUAAUAAUAACUUUCAAUGCAGAAUAUCCAGUUGAGUGUGAAGUGAUUUGGCACUUUUUCAAAAAGGCUUAUUUAAAUUAGAAACUCCAUUUGACAAAAAUUUUACAGCUGUUAAUGCUUUUAUUUCUGAUAUUGGAAUAAUGUAAUAAUUGUACUUAUUUUUUUUUUUUUAAUUGAAUUAGGCCUUUGCAACUAUGGCCAUUGGCGACAAAGAGUUUAACUCUAAAUUAUUUACAUGUUAUAUAAGUUAUAUAUUAAAUACUAUUGAUAAGGUUGGACUUAGUAAUAAAGGUUAUCAUGCGUCUUGUGUUGUCUGGGUGGAGGGUUUCUGACAGAAUGUAGUUGUUUGCUAUUAGAGACUGCCGUAGUAUUAACUAGAGAUGUAGAUGAUGAAAACCCACAAUUUAUAUUAAUAAAAGAUAUUUUUCUUAAUGGGUCUGAAAGAAUCAUUUUUGAGUGUUGUAUGUUUACUACAAUAGGGUUUGAUGAGCAAUUUUAUGCUUAUGAAGUUGAAAUCCACGAAUUAAAUAAUUGUUUUAUUUUCUAAUACUCAUUUAUUUCUCCUAUACUAAAUACUUUAAAUGUUGUGUUAAAUGGAACAAAAUAUGUGACAGUUUGUGAUCCGUUGUAAUUUUUUUUUAAAUAUAUAUAUUACAGAAUAAAUUAUUAUUAUUAUCAAGUUAAAUUUAACAUAGGAGUCAGUAUAAUUUAUUAUAACUGUAAAAUAUGUUCAUUUGUAUUAUAUAAUUUGGUCAGGUAAUUUGUUUUUUAUUUUAUAUAAAUAAUAUAAUAUGAAUAUUUAAAAUUUAAGAUUAUUUUAAAAUAAUGGCAUUUUGUUUUUUAAAUUGUAAACUAUGUGCUUAUAUACAUAUAUCAUAUUAUAAUUUUUCAAGUUAAACUUGACAUAGG